rnacentral:misc_RNA from 1 species
GAUGAAGAACGUAGCGAAAUGCGAUACGUAAUGUGAAUUGCAGAUUUCAGUGAAUCAUCGAAUCUUUGAACGCACAUUGCGCCCGCUAGUAUUCUGGCGGGCAUGCCUGUUCGAGCGUCAUUACGCCCCUCAAGUCCCCUGUGGACUUGGUGUUGGGGAUCGGCGAGGCUGGUUUUCCAGCACAGCCGUCCCUUAAAUUAAUUGGCGGUCUCGCCGUGGCCCUCCUCUGCGCAGUAGUAAAACACUCGCAACAGGAGCCCGGCGCGGUCCACUGCCGUAAAACCCCCCAACUUUUUAUAGUUGACCUCGAAUCAGGUAGGACUACCCGCUGAACUUAAGCAUAUCAAUAAGCGGAGGA